rnacentral:misc_RNA from 1 species
GAAAUGCGAUAAGUAGUGUGAAUUGCAGAAUUCAGUGAAUCAUCGAAUCUUUGAACGCACAUUGCUCCCUUUGGUAUUCCAAAGGGCAUGCCUGUUCGAGCGUCAUUUGUACCCUCAAGCUUUGCUUGGUGUUGGGCGUCUUGUCUCUAGCUUUGCUGGAGACUCGCCUUAAAGUAAUUGGCAGCCGGCCUACUGGUUUCGGAGCGCAGCACAAGUCGCACUCUCUAUCAGCAAAGGUCUAGCAUCCAUUAAGCCUUUUUUCAACUUUUGACCUCGGAUCAGGUAGGGAUACCCGCUGAACUUAAGC